AGUGAACGCUGGCGGUAGGCCUAACACAUGCGAGUCGAACGGCAGCAUAGUAAGAGCUUGCUCUUACGGGUGGCGAGUGGCGGACGGGUGAGGAAUACAUCGGAAUCUACUUUUUCGUGGGGGAUAACGUAGGGAAACUUACGCUAAUACCGCAUACGACCUACGGGUGAAAGCAGGGGAUCUUCGGACCUUGCGCGAUUGAAUGAGCCGAUGUCGGAUUAGCUAGUUGGCGGGGUAAAGGCCCACCAAGGCGACGAUCCGUAGCUGGUCUGAGAGGAUGAUCAGCCACACUGGAACUGAGACACGGUCCAGACUCCUACGGGAGGCAGCAGUGGGGAAUAUUGGACAAUGGGCGCAAGCCUGAUCCAGCCAUACCGCGUGGGUGAAGAAGGCCUUCGGGUUGUAAAGCCCUUUUGUUGGGAAAGAAAAGCAGCAGGUUAAUACCCCGCUGUUCUGACGGUACCCAAAGAAUAAGCACCGGCUAACUUCGUG
rnacentral:rRNA from 1 species